AUUGAACGCUGGCGGCAUGCCUUACACAUGCAAGUCGAACGGUAACGGGCCUUCGGGUGCCGACGAGUGGCGAACGGGUGAGUAAUGUAUCGGAACGUACCUUUCAGUGGGGGAUAACGUAGCGAAAGUUACGCUAAUACCGCAUAUUCUGUGUGCAGGAAAGCAGGGGAUCGCAAGACCUUGCGCUGAUUGAGCGGCCGAUAUCAGAUUAGCUAGUUGGUGAGGUAAAGGCUCACCAAGGCGACGAUCUGUAGCGGGUCUGAGAGGAUGAUCCGCCACACUGGAACUGAGACACGGUCCAGACUCCUACGGGAGGCAGCAGUGGGGAAUUUUGGACAAUGGGGGCAACCCUGAUCCAGCCAUGCCGCGUGAGUGAAGAAGGCCUUCGGGUUGUAAAGCUCUUUCGGCCGGGAAGAAAUCGUAUCAGCUAAUACCUGGUGCGGAUGACGGUACCGGCAUAAGAAGCACCGGCUAACUACGUGCAGCAGCCGCCGUAAUAC
rnacentral:rRNA from 1 species